CAUGCACUGGUGGGGUCUCUCGGCCUGGCCUGCACCCUCUUGCAAUCCUGGACCCCUCAGGGGAUGUCGGAGAGCUGGUUUCAGCCUGAUCCUGCAGGCCAGGCCGAGGGACCCCACUGGUGCACG
rnacentral:pre_miRNA from 1 species